AUUGAACGCUGGCGGCAGGCCUAACACAUGCAAGUCGAGCGGAUGAAGGGAGCUUGCUCCUGGAUUCAGCGGCGGACGGGCGAGUAAUGCCUAGGAAUCUGCCUGGUAGUGGGGGAUAACGUCCGGAAACGGGCGCUAAUACCGCAUACGUCCUGAGGGAGAAAGUGGGGGAUCUUCGGACCUCACGCUAUCAGAUGAGCCUAGGUCGGAUUAGCUAGUUGGUGGGGUAAAGGCCUACCAAGGCGACGAUCCGUAACUGGUCUGAGAGGAUGAUCAGUCACACUGGAACUGAGACACGGUCCAGACUCCUACGGGAGGCAGCAGUGGGGAAUAUUGGACAAAGGGCGAAAGCCUGAUCCAGCCAUGCCGCGUGUGUGAAGAAGGUCUUCGGAUUGUAAAGCACUUUAAGUUGGGAGGAAGGGCAGUAAGUUAAUACCUUGCUGUUUUGACGUUACCAACAGAAUAAGCACCGGCUAACUUCGUG
rnacentral:rRNA from 1 species